UUUUUUAACUGCUCGAGACUUGGCCAGUUAGAAUGGUUGAAUUGGCCAGUUUAUCGAUAAGGCAGGUUAAACCGCCUACAGGCCCAUGUCCUGUUAACCAUUCUGGUUCAAUUUUACAAACACUGCGUGAUGGUCUCCUUUGGUUUGAAAAUGUCCAUUGCUCAAGAUGUGGAUGUCCCUAUGCCAUGGCGUACCAUGUACCACACAUCCUUAGCCUAUGGUAUUAUGUACUCUCCCUUUUCCGGUUGUCUUGGUUUUUAGGUUUCAAAGAAUAGAGGGGGAGUUAUUUGUCAUAGGUGUUAGGUUUCAAAGAAUAGAGGGGGGAGUUAUUUGUUGGUUAUGGUUUCUGUGAGGCUGAGGCCUUAAACAAUCAAAGGAAAGGUGCUCAUUAAGAUAGCAUUGAAAGAUGUGGCUUCAGAAAAUAUUUAUGAUGACUUGAAAAUUUGUUUUCAUUUGUAAUUAUAAAAUUUAAAGCUUAAAAAAAGUGUAGAUCGAGCAGAUCUUUGGACACUUGAAAAUCUUGCAAAUUGACAGUCUAGAUAAUGCAUUACAAGAUGCACUAUUUCCAAGACUUGAAGUCCAGCCAUUUUACAUCCAUGGAUCUUAAGGUCGAGAUGAUCGAACUGAGGGCUUUGUGGCGUUGAAACAACUUAUUCUAGUAAAUUUUCGAGGUGUGCGUUAGUUUGAUUGUUUAAGGCCUCAACUAUAGUUAUUUGGGUUUUGGUAGGCUACACUACUUGGUGGUGUAGAUCCUUAAAGUGCUCAAUAUUUUUGGACAUUAAAAUACCCUUGAAUUGUAAUACAAAAAUUUUCAAGUAGGGGCAUUUUUUAUCAUUUAAAAGGGUAGAAUGGAUAUUUUUAUAAAAAAUAAUGACAUUCUAUUAGUAGUUCAAAACAAUUAUUGCAU
rnacentral:lncRNA from 1 species